GCUGUAGCUCAAUGAUAGAGUGUUUGCCCUGCAAGCAGAAGUUCCUAGGUUUGAUCCCCUCUGGCAUCUCCA